GGCAGCCGUAACGACUGGAUUCUCUCAACGGUACGGUAUAAACGGGGGAUGGGCCGGCGCGGAAUUUGACACAAAUAAUCCCUAUUUUCAAACGCAAUUUUAUCUGCAUAAUAUAAGGGCCGACUUCAGUUGGUAUUUCCUGUGUUGAAUCAUUCCUAAAUCUGGUUGCUUGGACCGUUCACCACGCCAGGAUCUGAUCUCGUCAUCGACUGCCUUGGUGGAAGAAUUCGACAAGAUAUUUGGUGCCAGCCCUAUCCCAACUUUCAAAUGAGGAUUUUCUCGUCACAAUAGGUAGGUACAUGUACAUGUAC